AUUGAACGCUGGCGGCAGGCCUAACACAUGCAAGUCGAACGGUAGCACAGAGAGCUUGCUCUUGGGUGACGAGUGGCGGACGGGUGAGUAAUGUCUGGGAAACUGCCUGAUGGAGGGGGAUAACUACUGGAAACGGUAGCUAAUACCGCAUAACGUCGCAAGACCAAAGAGGGGGACCUUCGGGCCUCUUGCCAUCAGAUGUGCCCAGAUGGGAUUAGCUAGUAGGUGGGGUAAUGGCUCACCUAGGCGACGAUCCCUAGCUGGUCUGAGAGGAUGACCAGCCACACUGGAACUGAGACACGGUCCAGACUCCUACGGGAGGCAGCAGUGGGGAAUAGUGCACAAUGGGCGCAAGCCUGAUGCAGCCAUGCCGCGUGUAUGAAGAAGGCCUUCGGGUUGUAAAGUACUUUCAGCGAGGAGGAAGGUGGUGAGGUUAAUAACCUCAUCAAUUGACGUUACUCGCAGAAGAAGCACCGGCUAACUCCGUGCCAGCCGCCGCAGUAAAAC
rnacentral:rRNA from 1 species